UACGUAGGGUGCAAGCGUUGUCCGGAAUUAUUGGGCGUAAAGAGCUUGUAGGCGGUUUGUCGCGUCUGCUGUGAAAUUUCGGGGCUCAACCCCGAACUUGCAGUGGGUACGGGCAGACUAGAGUGUGGUAGGGGGAGACUGGAAUUCCUGGUGUAGCGGUGAAAUGCGCAGAGUAUCAGGAGGAACACCGAUGGCGAAGGCAGGUCUCUGGGCCACUACUGACGCUGAGAAGCGAAAGCAUGGGGAGCGAACAGG
rnacentral:rRNA from 1 species